UAUGGCGGUUUAUGGUGGCGGCGCGCGCAGCUGGCUGGUGCUCGAACUGUCUUUAGCUCCAGUUUCUGAUGUUUGCGAUGAAAGUUAGCGCUCACUGACGGCGUAAAAUCACUCUUCCUACUGGAGUGAGGCUGAAGAGUUUGUAACAUUUGGUAAAACUGCAUGCCACCGCGGCUUCAUGACAGGUGCUUGGCCGUGGCUCGUUUGGAACACUGCUGCUGAUGGUGAACCUUAGGGACCGCGGAAGUAUCCUUCAGCCUGUGAUAUGUGCAACAGUAGCAGUCAAGACUCUCGGAACGAUGACCGUGCGCGCGGGCGCCCAUUCUUCAACAUGCACAAUCUUUCUCCCAACGCCAAUCACCACUGCGCCUCCUGUUUGAUGUCCUGUCUCUGCGCAUUCGUAUCGAUAGCUUUAGCACUGAUAACUGCCAUCGUGCGUGCUAGCAAACCCCGCCUGGCAUGAACGGCUGGGAAUACCUAGCAAGCACUAUGGCAGGGAUGGCAGAUCUGAGGCGGUAACGCAUUAGCUGCUCCAGGAAAGGAAGACAAGGAGGCACGAAGAUGCAGCAAUCUCUAGCUGCUACACAGCCGCCUUAAGGCACUAUGUUUACAUUAGCUAUUAGUGAUAGCAGUGUUUAUGCAUUAUUUGCAGUGGAUGAACUCUUUCCCUACUGUGUGCACAAAGCACACUGUGUGGCGUAUUGUUCAGUUCAACGAUGGGUUUCAAACCCAAGUGUGUGGUUUUUGUAGCGUAUUCGUAAUUAUUCUGCAUCUUGUCUUGUUUCUGAGUCUACUAUAAUUGCCGAUGGGCCAGGAACGCAGCACCGACUGUCUGUCAAAGAAAGCAGCUAUGCGUGCAGCUGUAAAUUACCUUGUGUUGUUCCUCCUCUCUUUCCUUCUUUAUUCCCACAUUUUCCUUGCUCAAGUUUUGCCGUGUCAGAAGCUUUCUUACUCGGGGCAACAAAGGGUUGUUUGUUCAUGAAGUACAGAAAAUGCCCGUGUCCAUGGGUGUCCUCUGUGGAGAUAUGCCCCAGUAGCCCAGUGAAUAUGGUGUUGCUCAGCUGAGCUCAAGGCCACGGAUUCGGUCUCUGCAGUGACUGCAUUUUGAUGGGGGUGAAAUGCAAAAACGAAUUGUGUACUUAGAUUUAGAUACAUGUCGAAAAACCUCAGGUGGUCAAAAUUAAUCCGAAGUACCCCACUACGGGUUGCUUCAUAUUCAGAUCAGGGUUUUAACAUGUAAAUUCUCAGAAUUUUAAUAAUCUGUGGGGACUUGCAGUCUUCCAUGCAUCUUCCUGGCCUUUCCAAGUGCCUCAGUGCUCUCACUUUUGGGGGUGAAUGGCAAGGAGGUAGAUAGGCAUUUCCUACGGCAAUCAUUUUGUAAACGUGGUGCCUGGUGCAUGAUAGUGUGCGCUCAUGUUUGUGUUGCGAGAUGUUUUCUUUAUCACCAUGCUUGCUGGUAUUCUUUGUCCCCACAAGCACUAACAGCCGAGAUAUCCUUCUAUUAUUGGUACUUGUUUUUAUCAAGUAAUUUAAUCUAGUGGUCACUAGAUAAUGAUUUCGCGCACUUUUUCAGGUCCACACAAUGAUGGUGUACUGAGGAUGGUGGAGAGGAAGUGAAGCCCAAUAUUGAGGAACUGCACAAGCCACUAUCAGCCAAGACAGAGGCCCGACUUUCCAUGUGUGACCAGCAAACACAGUCUCUCCCCGUGUUUGUAAGUGGCUGCACGAUCCACUGCAACAUGUGCAGCUUCUCCACAGCGCAGGUGGGAACCAUGGAGCAGCACCAGCUCACGCACACGGGGGAACGACCUUUUGUGUGCAACUACUGCCCUCGCACAUUUGCACGCUGCUACGACCUCAAGAUGCAUGUGCGCAUCCACACAGAUGAGCGACCCUACUCGUGCCCCAUCUGCCCAUCGACGUUCCACCAGAAGUCGAACCUGCAGCGCCACAUGGUGUCCCACACAGAUGAACGGCCCUACAAGUGUAAGCGCUGCACACGGUCGUACCGCAGCUCUUCGGCACUCGACUAUCAUGUGAAACGGUGCACGGUUCCCGUGGAGAUGCCACCUGCGUGAAUGCCUGCCUUGGCAUGCACGUGUGCAUGUGAGUUCCUGGGCUCACCUUGAAAAUGAUGGUAGUACAUCAACUGGCCACAGUGCACAAGGACACCUCUGAAGGCCGAGAUUCUACAGGAGCCGAAACUGAUAUCGUUUGGUGCAACAGUUCACGUCCAUGUGUGCAGACCAUCCUGUGGCAGCCUGCGCAGUGACAUGCACCUUAAGGUGGCUGCAGUUGCCAAGGCCACCUUUGAAAGUUGAUAGUCAGCAUGAGUCAGGGACAUGUGUACCUGAGGCUGCACAGCUCACAGCUGUUCGAUUUUGGUGGAGGAAUUGCCACAGUAAAAGUGCGCUUUAGAAUGCACACAGGACAGCACAUAGGCGCAGCCAAGUGCAAAACUUGCGAUGGUAGUCAUGAAGAUAGCAAGUUCCUUUGUGAUGUAGGUGUGCUGCCUUUGAGUAAUUCACUUUGGUGCUGUGCACAUUUCCGAUUCUAUUAUUAUGAUGCAUGUAGUCAGUCAACUGUGAAAGAAACUUUUUAUUUUGUUUUAAUUGGCCUGUUCUCUAAGACGCUGGGACAAGCAGUGCAUGCAUAUUCUAGUGAACACUUGUAGUGAUCGUGAAAGAACUGCUUCUUGACCAUUUCACACGGAAAAGCAACCUCAACUACAGCGGAUCAGGCGCAGUCGACUUUUACUGCACUGCGUAGUCAAGUUAAAGAAACUUCACAACCCAUUACCAUUUGGCUCAAUGCACAACAGUAGAGCGGAAUAUGCUUUCAAGCAUAGUGCAGUGCUAAGCAUAGUGCAGUUCUAUCAAUUCAUUAAUAGUACAAGCACAAGGUGGAAAUACGGAAAACAUUUUCCUGUGAGCCUCAGCCACACAACAAUAAAGACUGGGUGUUGCAGUUGUCACUAGGUCAAGAUUUGUCAAACUCGUUCAUUUUGCUGCUAAACAUGAUGCAGAUUUGCUACACACAUCAGCAGAUGGAAAAUGCUUGCUCAUGCUGCUUUAUUAGUGACGGAACUCAUCACAUACAGUUCACUUACAGCAGCAACAAGGAAACUUGUAAACAAAAUUUGAUGUCUGGUAUAGAAGUGCCAAUUGGAAAUUGCAGGGAGGGGCCUUCGUUCUGCAGUGGACAUAAAAUCUUGUCUGGGACACAAGACGACAAAAUAGGCUGAUGAUGAUGAUAGAAGUGGUGCUAAACCUUGCAGUUCUCAAAUGCAGUUCCACAUCAAGGACAGUUAAAAUAACCUGUUCACCCUCGUAUCUAGCCAUGGAGAGCACAUUUGUAAAAUAAAUGUUCUUUGAGUUAAAACUCAAUUAGUAUACUUGUUAAUUGGUUUGCUGAAGUGUGUCCAACUGGGGUAGAAUUAGUUCCUGCAUGUCAAAAACACUACUACAUGCUAUGUGUUAACUUCCUUGGGCUUACAUCAGAACUUUGAAGCAUCAAAUAUGGUGUAGCAUAUACAGUAAGCGCCACUUAAGUGGGACUUCAAG